UACGAAGGGGCUAGCGUUGCUCGGAAUCACUGGGCGUAAAGGGUGCGUAGGCGGGUCUUAAGUCAGGGGUGAAAUCCUGGAGCUCAACUCCAGAACUGCCUUUGAUACUGAGGAUCUUGAGUUCGGGAGAGGUGAGUGGAACUGCGAGUGUAGAGGUGAAAUUCGUAGAUAUUCGCAAGAACACCAGUGGCGAAGGCGGCUCACUGGCCCGUUACUGACGCUGAGGCACGAAAGCGUGGGGAGCAAACAGGG
rnacentral:rRNA from 1 species